UACGUAGGGUGCGAGCGUUGUCCGGAAUUAUUGGGCGUAAAGAGCUCGUAGGCGGUUUGUUGCGUCGGCUGUGAAAUCCCGAGGCUCAACCUCGGGUCUGCAGUCGAUACGAGCAAACUAGAGUGUUGCAGGGGAGACUGGAAUUCCUGGUGUAGCGGUGAAAUGCGCAGAUAUCAGGAGGAACACCGGUGGCGAAGGCGGCAUCCUGGACCGGUAUUGACGCUGAGGCGCGAAAGCCAGGGGAGCAAACGGG
rnacentral:rRNA from 1 species